GAAUGCCGGUAUCUCUCUKGGGUAGACCCUGGAGUCGGGUUGUUUUKMGAAUGCAGCCCAAWGUGGGUGGUAAACUCCAUCCAAGGCUAAAUACUGACACGAGUCCGAUAGCAAACAAGUWCCGUGAGGGAAAGUUGAAAAGUACUUUGAAGAGAGAGUAAACAGUGCGUGAAACCGCUCAGAGGUAAACGGGUGGAGUUGAACUGUGAACUCUGCGGAUUUAGCUGGCGAGCUUGGUUUGGGCUUGGUCAAAUUGGCUGGUACUUGGAGUCYGCGUAGAAGCAGGUCCUCACCUUUCGGUGUGGAUGCGCGAUGCACUUAUCAAGUGUUGUGCGCUCCUUGUUCAUCCGGGCCGGCUUGUCAGUGCAUUUUCGCAGAGUGGUCACCACGACCGGCAUGGCUGUYUGGCUGUUGCGGUUAAACCGUCCUUGCAUCUUCCAUGUGAUUAUGUCUGGGCGGGAUGGCAGGUAGCUCGUCGGCUUGCUUGCGGUUUUCCGUGGGCGUUAGGUYUUCGAGUGUWAUCAGCYGACCGCMUCGKUUCUGUGCAGUAUGUCGGWGACGGCGGCUUUUGGUGUGUGCAGGCGUGCCAGCUGUYUGACGUUUCCGGGUUUGGUUGUCAUSUUGMYUGUGUGUGCAGGCCUGACGGCAGCUCGGGUAUGUUCGAUCGGCGG
rnacentral:rRNA from 1 species